UACGUAGGGGGCAAGCGUUGUCCGGAUUUAUUGGGCGUAAAGAGCGUGUAGGCGGCUAGAUAGGUCCGUUGUGAAAACUCGAGGCUCAACCUCGAGACGUCGAUGGAAACCAUCUGGCUAGAGUCCGGAAGAGGAGAGUGGAAUUCCUGGUGUAGCGGUGAAUGCGCAGAUAUCAGGAAGAACACCCGUGGCGAAGGCGGCUCUCUGGUACGUGACUGACGCUGAGACGCGAAAGCGUGGGGAGCAAACAGG
rnacentral:rRNA from 1 species